ACCUGACUGGCUCCAUCGGUGGAGUGUGGGACUUUUGAUCUCAGGAUUGUGAGUUCAAGCCCCAUGUUGGGUG
rnacentral:tRNA from 1 species